rnacentral:rRNA from 1 species
UGAGGAAUAUUGGUCAAUGGACGCAAGUCUGAACCAGCCAAGUAGCGUGCAGGAUGACGGCCCUAUGGGUUGUAAACUGCUUUUAUAUGGGGAUAAAGUGGGGAACGUGUUCCCUUUCGUAGGUACCAUAUGAAUAAGGACCGGCUAAUUUCGUGCCAGCAGCCGCGGUAAUACGGAAGGUUCGGGCGUUAUCCGGAUUUAUUGGGUUUAAAGGGAGCGUAGGCCGUUUGGUAAGCGUGUUGUGAAAUGUAGGAGCUUAACUUCUAGAUUGCAGCGCGAACUGUCAGACUUGAGUGCGCGCAACGUAGGCGGAAUUCAUGGUGUAGCGGUGAAAUGCUUAGAUAUCAUGAAGAACUCCGAUUGCGAAGGCAGCUUACGGGAGCGAAACUGACGCUGAAGCACGAAGGUGCGGGUAGCGAACAGG